ACCAAAAAUUCCUCUAUGCAGGAAAAACACACCGAUCUUGUUUACACUUAAGAGAAAAUGAAACCGUCACUUUAACCCAAUUCUCAUUUACUCUCACAAUAGUGUCACUUUUCUUUUGAAAUUUCAAAACGUCUUACCUUUAUCUGCCUUCCUCUGAAAAGGGACUCGUCCAAAGCCAUGGCUGUCCUAACAGACUCUUUGU